AGUUAUAAUCGCUUAAAUCAUAUCGCGCUACAAGCAAAACGCUAAGAAUGUGCGUCAAGUAACUUUUAAAAAAUUGCUUAUAAAUUCUAAACAACUGAAGCGAUUCCAUUGAUAUUGGUGUCAUUGGAAAGCUUGUGAAUUCAGCUGUUCUUCACAUUUGAAGUUUUAGGAAAGCUUGUCUUCCAAGGAAGUUUAAGCUUAAAAUGUAUAAAAACGCUUGUAACUAAAAAACUAUGGGGUAUAUUUCGAUGUAACCUUCUUUAUUAGAUAGCGGAGUUCCAUACGUUUCAGAUGAGUACCAUCAUCAUGGACAUACGUUGAGCCAUUUAUGAGAUAUGCUCCUCCAAAGCUAAUAGUUCCACUGCCAAAUAGUAAAAAACCAGUCGCUAAAAAUCACUUAAAAUGGCUUGCGAAAAAUUUUUCUGCACCAGGAGAACAGAAUCAUGUAGUAGGUGGAAAUCGUUCAUGAAAAAUAUUUAAACGCUUAUAACUCCUGAACCGCUGAAGCGAUUUCAAUGAUAUUGGUGUCCAUCACAAGCUCUUGAAUUCUACUUUUCACCGCGGUACAAAAAAAAAUUCAAUGCCAACAUCCAAAGGAAGCUGAGCGUAAAAUAUAUAAAAACGCUUGUGGUUAUAAAGAUAUGGGACUAUUUCGAUGAAAACUAGUUUUUCCAGAUAGCCGAGUUCCUAACGCUUCCAUUGAGUACCAUCAUCAUAUACUUUUGUUGGUUUUUCGCAGAGUUAUAAUCGCUUAAAUCAUAUCGCGCUACAAGCAAAACGCUAAGAAUGUGCGUCAAGUAACCUUUAAAAAAUUGCUUAUAACUUCUAAACUACUGAAGCGAUUCCAUUGAUAUUGGUGUCAUUGGAAAGCUUGUGAAUUCAGCUGUUCUUCACAUUUGAAGUUUUAGGAAAGUUUGUCUCCCAAGGAAGUUUAAGCUUAAAAUGUAUAAAAACGCUUGUAACUAAAAAACUAUGGGGUAUAUUUCGAUGUAACCUUCUUCAUUAGAUAGCGGAGUUCCAUACGCUUCAGAUGAGUACCAUCAUCAUGGACAUCCGUUGAGAUAUUUAAGAGAUAUGCUCCUUCAAAGCUAAUAGUUCCACUGCCAAAUAGUAAAAAACCAGUCGCUAAUAAUCACUUAAAAUGGCUUGCGAAAAAUUUUUCUGCACCAGGAGAACAGAAUCAUGUAGUAGGUGGAAAUCGAUCAUGAAAAAUAUUUAAACGCUUAUAACUCCUGAACCGCUGAAGCGAUUUCAAUGAUAUUGGUGUCCAUCACAAGCUCUUGAAUUCUACUUUUCACCGCGGUACAAAA